rnacentral:lncRNA from 13 species
UUUAGAUUUUAUAUUAAAAGAAUUAUUUUUAGAUUUACUGGGGAAUCAAAAAAUAUGCCAUUGGUAUCAUUGGAGUUUGCUGAAUUUUUAAUUAGGUUUGAAAUCUUCAGUUAAAUGACGUCUUGAGAUUGCAUAUAUGAAGGUUUGCUAAAUCCUUGGAAAUCGUAAUCAAACGACAAAGAUCAUAGGUAAUUU